AAAGAGAGAGGGAGAGGAACGCGCCGGGUUUCCACAACUUGGCGGCGGAGCCCCGGGGCUGGAAGGGCGCUCGUGGCCGCACGCAGCCGGCAGAAACGCAGCGGGCAGCGGCGCUCCCCGCCCGGACACUCACCUGCGCGCGGGCGCUGCGGGCGCGGCUCCGCUCCGGGGGCGGCGGGAGAAGCCUGGGGCGGACUUUCCCUCACUUGCCGCGCAUGGUGCAACUCCUGGUGCCGGGGUCCCGGCCAGCCCGCCAGCAGCCUGCGAACCCCCCCGCGCCGCCGCCGCCGCGCACGCCUCCUCCUCCCCCUCGGCGCACACAAGGAAGUCCCGGAGAGUGGGAAGGGGAGAGCGGAAAGUUUUGGGGCGGAAUGGCGGCCGCGGGCGCGCGGCGGCGGCGGGAGCGGCGCUGAGGGGAGCGGGCCGCGCCCGGAGCCCGCCGCCGCCGCCACUGCCGGGCGGGAAGGACGGGGGCGGGCGGCGGGGCGAGGAGGGCCGGUGGGGGGGCGAGCGGCCGCGCCCCCGCCCCCGGCAGCGUGCGGGGCCGCCCUGCCCGCCGGCCGCCCUGGGGGAACCCCCCGCGCCGCGCUCCCACGCGGAGCGCCGCUCCCACGCCGCGCACACGCGGAGGAAGCCUCCCCUCCCCCCACCCCUUCGGCUCCCCGCCGCCGUGACCGGGCGAGCCCCGGCCCCGGGCGCUCCAGCCGCCGCCGCCACCGACGGAGGGCCGCGGCCCCGAGCCAGGGGAAGGUGUACACGCGCGCCGGGGUGCGGGGUGCGUGCGUGCACGGGAACGGGCGCGGGGCCGCUCGGCUGCGGGCGCACACCCGCUGUGCCCGCGGAAUGAUGCAACGCGGCCGCCGCGCCGCGCCGUGCGGCCGCCCCUCCCCCCGCAGCCGCCGCCGCCGCCGCCGCCGCCGGGCGUUGUUUCCGCCUGGCGGGUCAGCGCUCGGCGAAGCGAGCCUCCCUUCGUCCUGCUCGGUCACCUGCGCUGCAAAGUAA
rnacentral:lncRNA from 1 species